AGCGUACACGGUGGAUGCCCUGGCAGUCAGAGGCGAUGAAGGACGUGCUAAUCUGCGAUAAGCGUCGGUAAGGUGAUAUGAACCGUUAUAACCGGCGAUUUCCGAAUGGGGAAACCCAGUGUGAUUCGUCACACUAUCAUUAACUGAAUCCAUAGGUUAAUGAGGCGAACCGGGGGAACUGAAACAUCUAAGUACCCCGAGGAAAAGAAAUCAACCGAGAUUCCCCCAGUAGCGGCGAGCGAACGGGGAGCAGCCCAGAGCCUGAAUCAGUGUGUGUGUUAGUGGAAGCGUCUGGAAAGGCGCGCGAUACAGGGUGACAGCCCCGUACACAAAAAUGCACAUACUGUGAGCUCGAUGAGUAGGGCGGGACACGUGGUAUCCUGUCUGAAUAUGGGGGGACCAUCCUCCAAGGCUAAAUACUCCUGACUGACCGAUAGUGAACCAGUACCGUGAGGGAAAGGCGAAAAGAACCCCGGCGAGGGGAGUGAAAAAGAACCUGAAACCGUGUACGUACAAGCAGUGGGAGCACGCUUAGGCGUGUGACUGCGUACCUUUUGUAUAAUGGGUCAGCGACUUAUAUUCUGUAGCAAGGUUAACCGAAUAGGGGAGCCGAAGGGAAACCGAGUCUUAACUGGGCGUUAAGUUGCAGGGUAUAGACCCGAAACCCGGUGAUCUAGCCAUGGGCAGGUUGAAGGUUGGGUAACACUAACUGGAGGACCGAACCGACUAAUGUUGAAAAAUUAGCGGAUGACUUGUGGCUGGGGGUGAAAGGCCAAUCAAACCGGGAGAUAGCUGGUUCUCCCCGAAAGCUAUUUAGGUAGCGCCUCGUGAAUUCAUCUCCGGGGGUAGAGCACUGUUUCGGCAAGGGGGUCAUCCCGACUUACCAACCCGAUGCAAACUGCGAAUACCGGAGAAUGUUAUCACGGGAGACACACGGCGGGUGCUAACGUCCGUCGUGAAGAGGGAAACAACCCAGACCGCCAGCUAAGGUCCCAAAGUCAUGGUUAAGUGGGAAACGAUGUGGGAAGGCCCAGACAGCCAGGAUGUUGGCUUAGAAGCAGCCAUCAUUUAAAGAAAGCGUAAUAGCUCACUGGUCGAGUCGGCCUGCGCGGAAGAUGUAACGGGGCUAAACCAUGCACCGAAGCUGCGGCAGCGACGCUUAUGCGUUGUUGGGUAGGGGAGCGUUCUGUAAGCCUGUGAAGGUGUGCUGUGAGGCAUGCUGGAGGUAUCAGAAGUGCGAAUGCUGACAUAAGUAACGAUAAAGCGGGUGAAAAGCCCGCUCGCCGGAAGACCAAGGGUUCCUGUCCAACGUUAAUCGGGGCAGGGUGAGUCGACCCCUAAGGCGAGGCCGAAAGGCGUAGUCGAUGGGAAACAGGUUAAUAUUCCUGUACUUGGUGUUACUGCGAAGGGGGGACGGAGAAGGCUAUGUUGGCCGGGCGACGGUUGUCCCGGUUUAAGCGUGUAGGCUGGUUUUCCAGGCAAAUCCGGAAAAUCAAGGCUGAGGCGUGAUGACGAGGCACUACGGUGCUGAAGCAACAAAUGCCCUGCUUCCAGGAAAAGCCUCUAAGCAUCAGGUAACAUCAAAUCGUACCCCAAACCGACACAGGUGGUCAGGUAGAGAAUACCAAGGCGCUUGAGAGAACUCGGGUGAAGGAACUAGGCAAAAUGGUGCCGUAACUUCGGGAGAAGGCACGCUGAUAUGUAGGUGAAGUCCCUCGCGGAUGGAGCUGAAAUCAGUCGAAGAUACCAGCUGGCUGCAACUGUUUAUUAAAAACACAGCACUGUGCAAACACGAAAGUGGACGUAUACGGUGUGACGCCUGCCCGGUGCCGGAAGGUUAAUUGAUGGGGUCAGCGCAAGCGAAGCUCUUGAUCGAAGCCCCGGUAAACGGCGGCCGUAACUAUAACGGUCCUAAGGUAGCGAAAUUCCUUGUCGGGUAAGUUCCGACCUGCACGAAUGGCGUAAUGAUGGCCAGGCUGUCUCCACCCGAGACUCAGUGAAAUUGAACUCGCUGUGAAGAUGCAGUGUACCCGCGGCAAGACGGAAAGACCCCGUGAACCUUUACUAUAGCUUGACACUGAACAUUGAGCCUUGAUGUGUAGGAUAGGUGGGAGGCUUUGAAGUGUGGACGCCAGUCUGCAUGGAGCCGACCUUGAAAUACCACCCUUUAAUGUUUGAUGUUCUAACGUUGACCCGUGAUCCGGGUUGCGGACAGUGUCUGGUGGGUAGUUUGACUGGGGCGGUCUCCUCCUAAAGAGUAACGGAGGAGCACGAAGGUUGGCUAAUCCUGGUCGGACAUCAGGAGGUUAGUGCAAUGGCAUAAGCCAGCUUGACUGCGAGCGUGACGGCGCGAGCAGGUGCGAAAGCAGGUCAUAGUGAUCCGGUGGUUCUGAAUGGAAGGGCCAUCGCUCAACGGAUAAAAGGUACUCCGGGGAUAACAGGCUGAUACCGCCCAAGAGUUCAUAUCGACGGCGGUGUUUGGCACCUCGAUGUCGGCUCAUCACAUCCUGGGGCUGAAGUAGGUCCCAAGGGUAUGGCUGUUCGCCAUUUAAAGUGGUACGCGAGCUGGGUUUAGAACGUCGUGAGACAGUUCGGUCCCUAUCUGCCGUGGGCGCUGGAGAACUGAGGGGGGCUGCUCCUAGUACGAGAGGACCGGAGUGGACGCAUCACUGGUGUUCGGGUUGUCAUGCCAAUGGCACUGCCCGGUAGCUAAAUGCGGAAGAGAUAAGUGCUGAAAGCAUCUAAGCACGAAACUUGCCCCGAGAUGAGUUCU
rnacentral:rRNA from 1 species